ensembl:misc_RNA RNaseP_nuc Nuclear RNase P
GCAGAGGGAAGCUCAUCAGUGGGCCAUGAGCAGAGUUUGUCUCGUCACUCUAUCACUCGUUCCUUGGAAAGGUCUGAGACUAGGGCCAUCAGGGGACCAAACGGGGCCCUCCCUGAGCUCAGGUACCUGAGUUCCCAGAGAAUACAUCUCUGGCAAGGGAAGAAUCUAUGUGGUUCCAGGUUCUAUAUAUUUUACAGAGUAAGCCCUAUAAAAUUAAACUUGACCUUGAAUCGACCAUUUGAUAAAUAGGACAAUAAAUAUUUUAAUGCCACUUGAUCCAAUUUUAUCCAUUUGC